UACCAGUUGCACAAAUACUUGAAAAGGAAAGGAAAUCUUCUAUCUUACAAAAUGCUGCGAACAAGGCUAUCUCUAGCGCCGAUGCUGUCGAAGGCGACUCGACUACAACUAGGGAACAUCAAGACUGAAUAUGGCACAGUGUCAACAGCUGCUGGCUCAGUCGAAAAAUGGGGUUUUCUUUUCGGCGGCAACAUGUACCCUAUCGUUAGCAUAAGUUUUAGCAUUUUCAUGGUGUGUGCCACCGUUGUGGUAGUCGCCACGUACCAACAGUACCGCGAUAUGGCGAUAGUGACCGAGCACAUUUCGUACGAAGAUGUCAAGGACCGCUGCCUUACUCCAAUGCCCGGGUGGGCUCGUCUCCGCUCUUUCAGUAUGGCAACUCCGCAAGGCCCUGCAACGUUCCGCGAUCCGACUCCCUUAGACUGGCUUCCGUUCGAGCUCAAGCUGGGAUACGUCAAGCAGUCCUCUUAUUAACGACGACAGAAAGGAAACAGUAUUUUUUUUCCUCGGGGCAAGUGCAUUGGCAUUUUCCCCGCUAUUCUGAUGUUUCACUGGCUCGCUGCGUGAUUCAUGCUGGCGUCUUCAUUUCUGUCUCACCUUUUUUCUUGCUUGCCCUAGGAUUCUUUCGCUUGUAUAUUUAUUUUUGAGUGUUACGGUCGUCGAGUAGCUUGCCGCUUUUUUCUUUCCUGCAAAGUUGUAGCACUAGCCACAAGAAUGUGUGCCGUUGAGAAGGAAAAUGCUUGUACUCUCAUAGAAGAAGGUAAGAAGCAAAGUAUUCUAAGUCGCUGUAUUUUGUGAGUUUUUUUUUUCUCCAAGCUUGACUCAGUGCUUCGGAAUUCAGUCCCCGAAUUACAGG
rnacentral:misc_RNA from 1 species